rnacentral:misc_RNA from 1 species
CUUCUUCUUCUUCUUCUUCCUUUUGUAUGUUUUUCUUUGGACCAAAGGCCAAAGGCAACGCCCAAGAAGAUUAUAUAAAAGUUGAGUUUAGUGUUUCCACUCUUUCUUUGCUGGCCAUUUGAGACUGGGUUUCUUGAGAUGGUUUAUUAGAUUUCUGGUUUGAAAAUAGGUAUACCCACUUCAUCAAAUGAGGGGGAGUUGCUUUCUGUGACAUUUGUGUAAGUCCUAGCGUCUCAAUUUUCUGCAGUCGUUAAACCCAGAUCUUUCAUAGAUUCUUGAACGGCUUCUUUUUGUUUUGAGAACUCGGAAUAUAUGCAUAUAUAAUAUAUAUGUUUGUAUGUUUUUCUAGUGCUCCACACCAUUCAAAGAGAUCUUAUCUUUCUUUCUUUCGUUUAUUUUGAUGAGGCUAUAACACUUUUCAGUGAAAGAUUUUUUUUUUUUUAAUGUUUUGAUAUGGCUUUAAAGCUUUUUCAGUGAUAAAUCAAGUCACCCUUUAUGAGAUUGGAAGUGAAAACCAAGAAAGCUGCUUCUAUUUUAUUAUUGGUAGUCUUCUUUCUCUUUUCUUUCUUCUUUAUCCUUCAAAGCGAGUGUUUUGACAAGAGACCAAAUACUACUAGUCCAGUGGUGGACGAUUCCUGUAAAACUGAGUCCUUGUCCUUUCUGAGCCUUCAUAUAAACACCUAUCUUGAGUUCUAGUUAGUGUAAUUCUAGCCCUUUCCAGCAGGACUAUGUUUUUCUUGAGCUUUAGCUUCCUUAACCAAACCCAGAUAGGUUUGUACCUUUGCAAUACAAGAAACAAUAUUCUCAGAUAAGCAAUCUGAAUAUUCCAUUUCUAAGAUUGGCUUCUGGUUUUUAAAAAUUGAUCUGAUCUGAUUAAGUGGGUAGUGUUAUCGUUUUUGAACUUAAGAUAUGGCUCAGGAGAUAGUGCCAGAGAACCUCAACAAACGGCUUGCUCUUGCUGUGAGGAACAUUCAAUGGAGCUAUGCAAUCUUCUGGUCCAUUUCCGCUAGACAACCAGGGGUGUUGGACUGGGGUGAUGGGUACUACAACGGAGAUAUUAAGACAAGGAAAACAGUUCAGUCCAUAGAGCUUAAUGCGGACCAAUUGGGUUUACAGAGAAGUGAACAACUGAGAGAACUCUAUAAGUCUCUCUCAGCUGGUGAAGCGAGCCCACAAGCUAGGAGACCUUCAGUAGCAUUAUCCCCAGAAGAUCUUACUGAUACAGAGUGGUAUUACUUGGUCUGCAUGUCUUUUGUAUUCGACAUUGGCCAAGGCUUGCCAGGAAGAACCUUAGCAACUGGCCAACCUAUUUGGCUGUGCAAUGCUUAUUAUGCAGAUAGCAAAAUAUUCAGCCGCUCUCUGCUAGCUAAGGUAGGUUCUUGUUUCUUGCUUGAGAUCCAGAUUCAUUUCAGAUAUGUUCAAUGUGAGAAGAUGAAACUAAAUAUUUCUUUAUCUGAUUUCAAUUUUGUCUAUAAUUGAACUGUGGAAUCCAUCACCCUCAGAGCGCAUCUAUUCAGGUACCAAUUCUAACUAUUUUCUGAUAGAGCCCUGUUUUAUGGGCAUGAUAACACAGCAUUGCCAUUUUACCUGAAUGCAGAUUGUGCAACUAGUAAACUUAGAAUUUAUGAAUUUUGAAAACUUACUUGAAGGUAUACUAAUGGCAGCCUUUCUUGUUCAAACUUUCAGACUGUAGUAUGCUUUCCAUUCUUGAGAGGUGUGGUCGAGCUAGGGGUGACUGAGAUGGUAUGUGUCCGUUUCUGCUCAUGGUAUAAUGAACCAUAGUUUUGCGAUGGGCGCAUCUGAAUGCCAAUUUAAUGAGUUGUUUUUCUGAAGGUUUUGGAGGACCCAAGUCUCAUUCAGCAUGUUAAAACUUCGUUCUUGGACAUUAAAUGUCCUACAGUUGCUACAAAUACCAGUACAAGAAGUGACAAAGAACUUGCUGGUGCUGCUUUUGAUCAGGAGGUGCUAGAGGUCAAAUCAAUUCCAGUGGUAGCAUGUGAAGAAUUAGAUGCAGUUUCCCCCAAUGACAGUUCAAAUAAUCAACCGGAAGAGGAUUCAUUUAUGGUUGAAGGGAUAAAUGGAGGAGCUUCUCAAGUGCAAAGUUGGCAGCUAAUGGAUGAUGACUGUGUUCAUUAUUCCUUGAAUUCUAGUGACUGCAUAUCUCAAACCAUUGUAGAUCCUGUAAAGGUUGCUCCUCUUACUAACAACGAAAAGGCCAAUCUGCAAGAUGUUCAAGACUGCAACCACACCAAACUGACUGCACUGGAUCUUCGAAGUGAUGAUUUUCAUUAUCAAAGUGUUCUCUCAUCUCUCUUAAAGACCUCCCAUCCAUUAAUUCUAGGAUCACAUUGUCAAAAUGGUAACAAGUUAUCCAGCUUCGUCAGUUGGAAGAAAGUGGGAUUGGUGCAUUAUCAGAUAUCAAAAGGUGCACCCGCGCAGAAACUAUUGAAGAAGAUACUGUUUGAAGUUCCUCGAAUGCAUGUCAGUGGCUUGCCCGAGUCCCCAGAAGACAACAGCAAUAGAAUUGGAGUUUGGAGACCAGAGGCGGAUGACAUAGGUGCAAACAAUGUAUUACUAGAGAGAAAACGAAGAGAAAAGCUAAAUGAGAGAUUUAUGAUUCUCAAAUCGAUUGUUCCUUCAAGCAACAAGGCGGAUAAAUUAUCUAUCCUAGAUGAGACAAUAGAAUACCUGCAACAGAUGGAAAGAAGAGUUGAAGAGUUGGAAUCAUGCAGGGAUUCAACAGAGUUAGAGGCAAGAACAAGAAGGAAACGCCAAGAUGCCAUAGAGAGAACAUCUGAUAACUAUGGCAGCUACAAAAUUCGUAAUAACAAGAAGCCUCUGGUAAACAAGAGAAAAGCUUGCAACAUUGAUGAAACAGAGCCAGGGAUGGAUUAUGACAUAUCAAAAGAUACUUCAACUGAUAACAUAAUUGUCUGUAUGAACGACAAGGAUGUACUAAUUGAGAUCAAGUGUCCUUGGAGGGAGGGAUUAUUGCUGGAGAUCAUUGAUGCAGCAACUCAGCUGCAUUUAGAUUCUCACUCAGUUCAAUCAUCCACCAUUGAUGGGAUUCUUUCUCUGACAAUCAAAUCUAAGCAGAAGGGAUUAACAGCUUGGUCAGCUAGGGCGAUCAAGCAAGUACUUGAAAGAGUUGCUUCUAAAUGUUGAAGCUUGGACUCACAUGGAUGUCUGGUUAUUUUUGUCAUUGGAAUUUCACUGCUUCUGUUGUAAAAUUAUGUACGAUCACGGUUAUUAGCGCAGAGGAUUUUCCUCCAUGUAGAGUAGCCUAAUAGGCAGAAAUAAACCUGUUUCGAAUGUUGUUAUUUUCUUAAGUGAUCAUGUAUCUAUAGUAUGCACUUCUGCACCUAAUAGGAACUCACGUCUUAUAACAAUACCAAAUUCAUAAAAAUGUACUUGCAGAUGCAAUUUAGAAAAGAUCAGAAUCUGAUUUCAGCCACUCAAAUGAGAUACAAAUCCAGGGAAAAUAAUGCCAGUAUUUUUGGAGUUUCUGGAUGUAAAUUUGGUUCAACCCCCUGUAACAGAUUGUGCAUUUCUUUCAAAAGGUGUUGGCACUCUUCACCGGCAAAGGACAAAUUCAACAGGUUGGUGUGUGUCAGCAGCAAAUGGAAAACUUGAGAUUCACCACUGGAUUGGAAUGAAGUGCUUUUAGCAAAGCAGUAACCCAUUCGAAUAGUCAAAAAUAAAGGAUGAAAAAAUGGGAAUUUUUCAAAGUAUAUAUAGAAAAAUUAACAAUGCUGGCUGACAAGGAGUAGGCACAAAACAUACCAUCAUUGACUCUUGAAUAAUAGAUCGCUUCUGCAUUAGAAAUGUGGACUUUGUCACUUUUGUAUUAGGUUGAUAGAGACUUUACAUUGUUUUGGGCAAGCACGCAAGCUUAGAUUAAGUUGCUUGUAGAAUGAAAUGAGAUUUAUAUAUUUUGUCUUGUGCAUCUUAAUAACAUUUACACUUCACAUGUAUCAUGGUUUCUUU